CCACAGCUGCCUGCCUUGCCAGAGAAUGAAGUGGUAUGACGAUGACUACAUUGAAUGGUGAAUGGAAGAUUCUGACACCAGGACCGAGAGGAAUAGUGAAGCUCUGCUCUCUUCUGCUGGGACCUGUGAGAGCUGUCAGACAGCUCAUCCCUCGGAUGCUUGCCAGACCCAAACACAGCUGAUUCAGGCAGUGGCUGUGAGACUGUACGAGACACUGUCAGCAUUAACUGUGAAGGCUCUCAGUGGAGGUGGAACCACAUGUGCUGGCUGAUUCAUGUGCACUUGAGCUGACAGGCCUCCAAUUUCUCAGCUUCCUGAACCACGAAGAUGGAUCUCAGAGCUCCUAGUACAUGGAAGCCCUAUGUGAUCCAACGCUGGGCCUUCUUGUCACAUUUUCUCAUGGAAAUAAUGUCGAGUGACUGGGUUGAGUCCUACAGUCAGAACAACAACAUUUUGGUUAAUAAGACUUUCAGGGCCAUGUGUAAACUAAUCAUCACACCUAUGUUUAAAGCAAUUCCCACCUCCACUGACCUUUUUUUUUUAG